rnacentral:tRNA from 1 species
AAACUCAUAGUUAUAACUGGAAAAACAUUGCACUUUCUAUGCAAAAUUACAGGUUCGAGCCCUGUUGAGUUUC